GACGAACGCUGGCGGCGUGCUUAACACAUGCAAGUCGAACGGAAAGGCCCUGCUUUUGUUGGGUGCUCGAUUGGCGAGCGGGUGAGUAACACGUGAGUAUCCUGCCCUUGACUUUGGGAUAACUUUAGGAAACUGGGGCUAAUACCGCAUAGGAGCUCCUGCUGCAUGGUGGUGGUUGGAAAGUUUCGGCGGUUGUGGAUGGACUCGCGGCUUAUCAGCUUCUUGGUGGGGUAGUGGCUUACCAAGGCUUUGACGGGUAGCCCGCCUGAGAGCGUGACCGGCGACAAUGCGACUGAGAGACGGCCCAGACGCCUACGGGACGCAGUAGUGGAGAACAUUGCAGAAUGAGCGGAAGCCUGAUGCGACGACGCUGCGUGCGGGAUGACGGGCUUCGGGUGGUAAACCGCUGUCGACUGUGACGAAGCCUGAGUGACGGUAAUGGGUAAAAAAGCACCGGCUAACUACGUG
rnacentral:rRNA from 1 species